rnacentral:rRNA from 1 species
AUUGAACGCUGGCGGCAUGCCUUACACAUGCAAGUCGAACGGUAACAGGUCUUCGGAUGCUGACGAGUGGCGAACGGGUGAGUAAUACAUCGGAACGUGCCCGAUCGUGGGGGAUAACGGAGCGAAAGCUUUGCUAAUACUGCAUGCGAUCUACGGAUGAAAGCAGGGGACCGCAAGGCCUUGCGCGGACGGAGCGGCCG